rnacentral:rRNA from 1 species
CAAUCUGCCUUGGAGUGGGGAAUAACGGCCGGAAACAGCCGCUAAUACCGCGAUGAUGCAUCUGAGGUCGCAUGGUUUGGAUGCCAAAGAUUUAUCGCUCUGAGAUGAGCUCGCGUCUGAUUAGCUAGUUGGCGGGGUAACGGCCCACCAAGGCGACGAUCAGUAGCCGGACGUGAGAGGUUGGCCGGCCCACAUUGGGACUGAGACACGGCCCAGACUCCUACGGAAGGCAGCAG